ACGGAAGGCAGCAGUGGGGAAUAUUGCACAAUGGGCGCAAGCCUGAUGCAGCGAUGCCGCGUGAGGGAAGAAGGUUUUCGGAUUGUAAACCUCUGUCAACAGGGACGAAAAUGACGGUACCUGUGAAGGAAGCUCCGGCUAACUACGUGCCAGCAGCCGCGGUAAUACGUAGGUUGCAAGCGUUGUCCGGAUUUACUGGGUGUAAAGGGCGUGUAGGCGGAGCUGCAAGUCAGAUGUGAAAUCCCGGGGCUCAACCCCGGAACUGCAUUUGAAACUGUAGCCCUUGAGUAUCGGAGAGGCAAGCGGAAUUCCUAGUGUAGCGGUGAAAUGCGUAGAUAUUAGGAGGAACACCAGUGGCGAAGGCGGCUUGCUGGACGACAACUGACGCUGAGGCGCGAAAGCGUGGGGAGCAAACAGGAUUAGAUACCCUGGUA
rnacentral:rRNA from 1 species